GGCAGGGUCAGGAGAGACGCUGUGAGCCACUGCCAGGAGAAGCAAGAUGUGAGAGAACAGCGAUAAACCGAAGUGCAUCUCGCCAUCAGCAAACAAGAUUCUUGCAGCUUUAACGACCGCACGGAAGAAAACAUUUGCGCCCUGAUGGAAAGGAGCAACCCUCAACCUUGGCACCAUCAGGCUGUUCCUGGCGAACUUACUACCGACGUCACUGUUCCUGAAGAACUUACCGACGUCACCGUUCCUGGAGAACUUUCUUACGUCACCGCUCCGUGUGUUGAGUUCUGAAUCCUCUUCGACCCCUCACCUGGUGUCCAAAGUUUCC